rnacentral:lncRNA from 1 species
UCCAUGUAUAUUUUCUGCUUCUCCCAGGAUAGUGCCUAUGAUUUGAUAGAUACAGUGUAUGUUUUUUCUUGUUGUUCUCUUUUGUCUUACUGAUAAAUUGUGUGAGUGAAUAAACACAUUUUUUUCCGGAAGUUUUUUGUUGUUGUUGUUGCUUUUGUUUAUUGUUUGUAAUAGGAGGAAGCAACAAAGACAGUAACUGGACAACACGAAAAUGAUAUUGACAUUAUUGAACAAGCUCCAGAAGAUCAAACAAAUAAGAUACCCACAUCAGAAUCAAGACAAAAAGAAGAUACAGAAUCUUCAGAUUCUGAGGUAUGUGUAUUGUUGUUGUUGUUGCAAUUUUAAAACUUAAGUAAUGAGUAAUCUUAAAACAUAAAAAGAACAUGACACACCAGGGCCUAUCAUGGGGAGGGGGGAGGGGGGAGGGAUUGCACUUGGAGUUAUACCUGAUGUAAAUGACGAGUUGAUGGGUGUUGAUGAGUUGAUGGGUGCAGCACACCAACAUGGCACAAGUAUACAUAUGUAACAAACCUGCACGUUAUGCACAUGUACCCUAGAACUCAAAGUAUAAUAAUAAAAAUAAAAAAAAAAAAAACCCAUAAAAAGAUGAUUUGACUUUAUACUCUCACCUCUGCAUGUGUCCGUAAGGUGGGUGAUCAUGAGGUCAGGAGAUUGAGACCAUCCUGGCUAACAUGGUGAAACUGUCUCUACUAAAAACAUUAAAAAAUUAGCCGGGUUUGGUGGUGCGUGCCUGUAGUCUCAGCUACUCGGAGGCUGAGGCAGGAGAAUGGUGUGAACUCAGCAGGUGGAGCUUGAAGUGAGCCAAGAUCGCGCCACUGCACUCCAGCCUGGGUGACAGAGUGAGAAUCCAUCUCAAAGAAAAGCAAAAAAAAAAAAAAAAAAAAGAGAGAAAGCAUUUAUUUUCUGACAUUUAUCAGAACAUACUUUAUAAUCAUGUGCCAAGUAGAUAAUAGCUGCAUAGUGCAAUUCUGCUAAUUUGCAGGAUUAAUUUUGAAGCCAAUGUAGAAUAGUGCAAAAGAAAAUAAGACUUAGAAGGCACUAGGAAUCUAUUUGAGUUCUGAAGUUGAGUUUGUCUAAAAACUAAAUAAUUUCUCUGUUCAUUUAUGGGCAAAUACAUAAUUCUGUGUAUAUCUAGAUGUACAAAGGCUCUAAUUGGAUUCAGAGACAAAGAGUUUAAAGUGUAGCCUUAGUUGCUCAACUUGGAACUUAAAACGAUAAUGCCUGGGACUUGAAAGACUCCAUCUCAAAAACAAAACAAAACAAAACAAAAAAAACCCAAAAACAACAACAAAAAAACACUUAUAAGUCAUUAUAAAUUUUUCUUAAAAACAAAAUAGAGAUGUUUGGUUAGAGAAAUUGAAAAACUUUAUAAUUAGCACGGGUAUGGGAGUGGCAGUGGAAUUCUAUGGUCAGAGUAGAUCUGUCUGAGACUGCCAUUUAAUCUCCAUCUCAAAGAUGAAGAGUAGGCCAUAUGAAAGUUUAGGAGCAAAACAUUCG